AUAAUGCAGUCGAGCGGACCGACGGGAGCUUGCUCCCUUAGGUCAGCGGCGCACGGGUGAGCAACACAUGGUUAACCUGCCUCUAAGACUGGGAUAACUCCCGGAUACCGGGGCUUAUACCCGAUGCCUGAUCGAACCGCAUGGCUCCAAUCCAACAAGGAGUUCUUAACUUCCCCUUUCCGAAGGGCCCCGCGGGCCUUUGCUUAUUGGGGACGGCACCGGUUCCCCAAGGCAACAAGCCCAACCCAACUGGGCAGGGGGACCGGCCCCCUGGGAAUGCAAACCCGGCCCGAAUCCUUCCGGAAGGCGCCAGUGGGAAUCGUCCAGCAUGCACCAAAGUCUGUACGAACCACCCUCCCGAAAUUGAGAAAGGUUAUCGGAUCGUAAAAUUCGGUGGUAUGGGAAGAACAAUUCCGUUCGAUUAGGCCGGCAACGUUGACCGUUCCUACCCGGAAGGCACGGCUAACUACAUACCAGCGGCCGCGGUAAUACAUUGGUGGCAAGCGUUGUCGGAAUUAUUGGGCGUACAGCGCGCGCGCGCGGUUUCGUAAGGCUGAUGUGAAAGCCCCCGGCUCAACCGGGGAGGGUCAUUGGGAACUGGGCAACUUGAGUGCAGAAGAAGCAAAUGCAAUUCCACGUGUAUCGAUGAACUGCGUAGAGAU
rnacentral:rRNA from 1 species